rnacentral:rRNA from 1 species
CCUACGGGAGGCAGCAGUGGGGAAUAUUGCACAAUGGGGGAAACCCUGAUGCAGCGACGCCGCGUGAAGGAAGAAGGUCUUCGGAUCGUAAACUUCUAUCAGCAGGGACGAAGGAAGUGACGGUACCUGACUAAGAAGCCCCGGCUAACUACGUGCAAGCAGCCGCGGUAGUACGUAGGGGGCAAGCAUUAACCGGGAUCACUGGGUGUAAAGGGUGCGUAGGGGGUAGGGUAAGUCAGAUGUGAAAGCCCGAGGCGCAACUCCGGGAUUGCAUUUGAAACUGUCUUACUAGAGUGCAGGAGAGGAAAGCGGAAUUCAUAGUGUAGCGGUGAAAUGCGUGGAUAUUAGGAAGAACACCAGUGACGAAGGCGGCUUUCUGGACUGUAACUGACGCUGAGGCACGAAAGCGUGGGGAGCGAACAGGAUUAGAUACCCUGGUAGUC